GUUUGAAGAUUCUAAGCUCAGACAGAAGUUCCCUUGGCCUUGCAAUGAUGGAGGAUGAAGCUAUUUAAGCUCAAGAACGCUUGGAGUUGAGGGAAUCACGAUCUGCCAUAUGAAGGGGUUGAAGAAAACAGAGUGAGCAGGAGCUGUCACAGGUGAUGAAUGGGGGUUCAAAGGUGCUCUAAAUGAUGUUUGGAUGAUGAAGGAUGCAAGGCUUGCUCGAUGGUUUCAAGGGUUUUUCAGAAUUUUCGUUUUUUGCCAAAAUACCAUAUGAGAGUGAGAG
rnacentral:lncRNA from 1 species